ensembl:lncRNA
CAGCGAAAGGACUUGAGAGCCGCUGUCCUGCACACUCCAUGGUUGACACAAAGGAUUUUUCUUUUCUUAAGAAAGUGAGACAAGUGGUGACAGAGAUGGAGAUGAAGAGGUAGGAGCUGAAAGGCAAUAGUUAUUGGCAUCAGAGAAGAGAAUAGACAAACCUCAGGACAGUCAUUAAUGAAAGUGUAUCAUGUGUUAUUGAUAACUUUUGAGGGGGAGGAGUGCAUGCCCUUUUCAGAUACCUUCUGCUGGAACUCAAGAAACUACCAAGUCUCAGAACGCCUCCUGUCAGUCUUUAGAUGUGUGAUGAGAAGGAGUGCAUGCUUUGAUCCGAAGAAGCAGGAUCUGUAUUUACUUGGGAGAAACUCACACAUCGGUGGUAUUGGGUAGACCUGGUCCCUGAAAUGCUUCCUGAGUGCCUACUCUGUAGCAGAUCUUGAGCUGGAUGGCUGAGAAAUAGAAAGAUGAAUUUGCCUCUCUCUCUUCAAAGGGCUAUGAGACAUGUAGUUAAAUAUUUAUAGUAUAAGGCAAAAUACAAUACAUAUCAUUAAAAAGUACAGAAUGUUAUAGGAUUAAGAAGAAGGAGAGAGGCUUGUACUGGGGAAUAUUCAAGAAACAGUAUUUUCGCCUUGAAAGAGGCUUUGGGCAGACCCAGAUGAGGGGCAAGGCAGGGCAGACCCAGAUGAGGGGCAAGGCAAGCCAGACAGAGGGAACAGCCUAGGGUGUGUGGGGCAGCAGGUUCUGUUCCCAUCAGUGAGAUGCAGGGAACAGCGGGCAGUGAGCCUGGAAAGGCAAGCUGGGGUCAGGCCAUGCCAGACCUAGACUGUCUUAGUCCAGCAUUCAAGAUGCCCCUUGGCAGACAGUUGAUCGUUUUCGCACCCUCCACCUCCCACAUGCCCUCUGGCUUCGUUAUCUACGUCCACAUGGGGCACUUUGUCCAGCUGCCCACCAAAUGGGAAACCUCUUGACAUGUCAGUAAGAGCAGAAAGCUGCUGUAAAGUGGCAUUUACCUUUUGCCAAGUAGCUCCUGGGAACCAAAAGUUAUCUGCAAGACCUCAAGAGAGACAGAGAAGGAAGAGUUAUAGUCCAAGAGGCCUAACCUUUAAAAGAAUGUAGCAGAGGCACCUCACGGUCCUGCACUCUAGGUGACCCUGAAGGACAGCCAUUGUCAGUUAAAGGCCAGAGCAAGAGGACAGGGAUAAGAAAAGCAUAAAUACCUGAACAUGAAUACCUCUUGGACACUGGCUGUGGCCAGAGUACAGCUCUCAGGGGACCGUGUUCCUCCGUGAAUCAGGUCAGCCGGCUGCACACCAGAGGCGGUUACCCCUCGGGGUAGUCUCUGAAAUCAUUUUCCACAUCCUUGGCUCCUGUGUUCCUGAGUGAUUGCCUGAGGAAGUGCCUACGGGAGCUCAGUCCAUGGGUUGCCCCCUCCCCUCUUGUUGACACCUCCCCUUUCACAAGCACCCUUCUCCCACUGAACAAAACACAGACACCUCUUACCAUCCUGCAUCUUGCUAAAUACACUGUCCCAGUAUGUGAGAAAAUGCACCCAACAACAGCACAAUAAGAAAAUUCAGAUCUAAGCAGGGAAGAGUCCCAGGAGAGCAAAGCACAGGGAGCUUUCUCGAAGGACAUCCUAAGGGGGGAGUGCCAUGCCCCUGUGCCUGCUCUAGCCACUCACCUGCUCAACAGCAGAGAGCAAGAGUGCAGUGGUUGCCACAAACACGCAAUUCCAUUGAGUAGAAAACAACCAGGUCAACUUUUUUUUCCGUCAGAAAGAAAUUCCAAUUUGGUUGAUUGGUUUGCUGAUGAGGGCUGGUUUUAUCCACAAGGUGGGGUGGAGGGACAUUUUUCAUAAACUGGAUGAGCUCCAUCUGCAACUGUUUAAAGCACAGAAAAUACGUGGAAAGUUUCAUCCUUUACAACUGUGAAAUUGAUGAUACAAACUUACAUGUCCUUAUGGUGGUGAUCAUUUCAC